ensembl:lncRNA
CUUUUUUAGUGACAAUACAAGGCAAGUGGCAGAAGAUCUCUAUUAUCUCUUAUGGAGAAUAUCUACAGAUUUCUAAGUCUGAAAUAAGAGCUCUGCUCCAAGUACCCAUUGAGGACAGCUUACCAGUACAAGAGCUAAUGGUGUCUUUUGGAGGGAUCUCCUAGCAGGGUCACCAGUGGAUGAAGAGGACAUGUAAGAGAAAUGUAGCUUGAAUAAAACACAAAAGACCUUCAUCUCACUUCGCCCUCUCCAGGUACUGGAACCCCGACUGGCUCAGCCAAAUCAGGGUAAAAUAAAAAGAUGUGGAUUUAGGGCAGUUGUUUUGCUGAGAGAUCUGAAUCCUUGUAUUAUUAAGGGAAGAGCAACAAAGUGUUAAAGGUUGCCCUAGAACCAUUUUAUGGAGGAAAAAAUCACCUGUGACUACUACUGCAGGCAUUUGAAUGGAUCACGCCUUUCAGUGGAGAUGAGACAUCUCUCUUGUUUAUGUGAGGAUCCUCCUUCUUAUCCCAAAAGGAGAAGAGAGGGGACAAAAAGGAAGGAGAGACCUUCUCCCCUGUUGCACACAGCAGGGCCAUGGGAUGCCGCUGGAUGCUGGUGAUUCCAUUUAUGCCAUCUGGCACAGUGCCCCACAUUACCCUCAGGUAACCAGCCCCACUGUCACCAUUCCUCACUUGCUACUCCAGAACAAGUUCCUGAUAAUGUUUAAGCAUGUUUAUAGACUUGACUCCAUAAUGCCCUGUUCUAGCUUUGUUUCUCUUUUCCUCUUUAAUCGUUUCAUUUGCUAUAUUGUUUGCCUUCUGACUCUACACUUUGCCACUGAGUUUUCAGCCUUUCAGCCUAGAGUUCCUAUUCUACUCUUUUCCUUCACUCAACUAUUCCAUUGCCUCAGAUAUAUUUUUCUUUUGUCUCCCCCUUCACUUCUUUUCCCUAAGAUUUACAAGCCCAUCUGUAGUCUUUGUUCAGUUAUCUGGUGUUGAGCAAGACUGAUGAUGUUUCAUUAAUCAUAUCCACUGGUCCUAGCAGUUACUCUUGCUAUUGCAUCCUUUCCUAUCUCUUAAUUUUUUCCUCUUGAAACAUGAAUACCAUUACUUGUACUUUACACUUUUUUUUACCUCUUGAGUGAGGCAAGGAAACAUGCUUCUCUGCUCCCAGAAAUGCCUCUCUCCUUUGUAGUAAUAUUCACUUUUUCUAGACUCUCUACAAUUGUUAUUUUUGUAGUGCUAAGAGGGAAAAGCAGAGCCUAUCUCAGUACUGUCAUUCAUGGAUACUUUUCUUGAUUGUCCUUUCUUUCAAGGAUCUGUACUAAGAUAUCCACUGUACUUGCAAAGAACUGACAUUCCUGUCUCAUCCCAUUCUAUUGCAGAAUUAUGGAAUUAUCAACUACUUCACAGAUUAUACAGUGCUAAGUUUGUAAUUCUCAUCAUUUCUCAUUUCUUCUAAAUCUGCACAAUUAUUUGUAAUAAAAAUCAACCUUGACACUGCAAGGUAGUCACCAUAUGUAUUCAUAUUAAAUUCGCAUUUCAGUUAUUGGAAGACAUGCCUGCCAGCUGAUCUUAAUGCAAUAAUUUAUCACUUUUUAUUAUAAUAAUACCUCAGGAUUCUUACAAAAGUCACUGUGCUGAACUGAUGAGCUAGGGAAGGAAGAAAUGGCCAGAAGUCCAGAAUGCCAACCUCCUCUGUAAAUUAGGACUGAUCUUUUUCACAUUGCUAAACUGACUGCUGCACUAGCCAUGUGGCUGAGUGACGACAGAACUUGUUCAAGUAGGCAAAUAUUCAGUCAGUUCUGUAUUAUAUGAGCUAGAAAGACAUUACAAAGACAUUGAGUGCAUCUACAAGGCUCUAUCAUUCUCUGUCUUAACUUUACCUACUAUGAUCUCUACCUUCUUCCCAGCUCUCUCUAGAAGCUGAACAUUUCAAAGUCUUCCAUGUAGCCUGUUUAGCAGGCUUUCUCACACAUAGUUCUGGCUACAUAAAAAUAUGUGUUAAUUACUAACAAGCGUGUCAGUAUAACCAUUACACAAGAAAACAUAAAAAUGGUAAAACAAACAAACAAAAAAAAAAACCAUCCAGAUUUUCAAUUUAGUCUAUUUCAAGAAUAGAAAUAUUAUUCAAAAUUUACCUACUACAAAACAUUACUUCAUAUUAAUAUCAAUGAAUCAUUCUAAAAUAAAAAUAUAAUUAUAUAAGAACAGUGGAUCAUUCAGUUAGACUACAUGCAAUAAUAAACAACAAAGACCACAAAUAUGGUGGGACUAACUUGCCAAGUUGGCAGAAUAUUAUAUGUAAGCAUCCAAAAAGUGAAAGUGAUGUUUUCCGCUCUCUUUCCAUCUUCUGUUCUAACUGGGUGGUCCCAUAUCAUGACCCUGACAGCCUACACUGCUCAUUUGGGUAAGAGCAGGCAUGUCCGACUCGCAGCCAGCAUGCAGCCUGGCACAGCUGGCAAGGUCGCCUGGCCUCUGUCCUGUGAAACCUGUCCUCCACUGCUGCUGCAGCUCUGUCCCACUGCAUGGCCUGGCCCAGACACAGGAGUGCACCCAUCACUCAGCAACAACAAAACACCAGUGACCUAUUAAAACUGUCUGAGCUGAGACCAGGACAUGGGGAGGGCACAGUGCAGUGCUGACUCAAAUUAUAACAAAUAAUUGUAUGCAUUUUGGUUAGCUGGCUAAACACGGUCUUGUGAACAGCAAAAAAGUAUGCAGCCCUGCUUUCUGUUUUGAUAAAGGAACUUGAGAACAGGUUUUAAGAUAGCAAAAAAAAAAACCCCAUAUUUUUUAAUGUAUUUGUAACUCCAUUUUCAGACUACCUAAAUACAUUACCUCUGACUUUUCACAUGGAGUGUAUAAAGUUGCAAUCAGACAUUCAACUCAAAAAUCUGACCAUGUUGCUUUAUUUUUAUGAGACCUAUCCUGUCAGAUAAAACCAUCCCUCUCUUCACAAUAGCACCAUACUCAUGUCAUUGCUUUUUGGCAGUAUGUAUAUUUGUGAACAACUAUUUCCAAGGAUGAAAUACAGGAAGAAUAAUACUUCACCAAAAAAUCUGUGAUGAACACCUUGAGAACUCACCAAGAAUAGCAGUCACUACCAUCAAACCAGACUGAUGCAUUAAUUUAAAAAUCAGUGCCACAUAUCCUGUUUGUUCUGUUUUUGUUGCAUUCUUUGUUUUAAUAAAAAUAUUUAUAAGAUUAUAGUAAGUUUUGUUACUUAUAUACAUGACCUAUGUUACAUAUUGUAUAAAGGAUGCUCUGAAAGUAAUGCCUGCUUUUUUAUGAUGUUGGCCCACAAUGUCAGAGGUAGAUGUUGGUUGUUUAGCAGUAGAGGCUGAAUCUUUCCACCGAUAUCCCAUUACAUUUUGUUGCUGUGUGAUCGGUGGCAGCAGAAGGGCAGUCUGACAAAGUAUUCUGACAUGGAAAUGCAUAUGAAGAAGAGAUGUGUCACUGAAUUCCUCCUUGAGGAAAAAAUGGCACCCAUUAACAACCAUAGACAAUGGUGAAUGUUUAUGGAGACAAACAACUGAUGUGAGCACAGUGAGCUGGUGGGUGGUACAUUUCAGCAGAGGUGACAGUGAGUCAUCUCUACUGUUGCAGAUUUUUACAAGUGCAGCAUGAAAGCUCUUGAUCACUGCUGGUGAAAAUGAAUAGCUAAUGGUGAUGACAAUGUGGAAAAGCAGAGUGUUGUAGCUGAGAUUUUUCUCUAUCAGAUAGUGUUAUUGUACUCUUUGUAUCAAUUGUAGUUGCCAUGGAAAUUGAUAGAAGGCAUUACUUUUGGAGCAAUCCUUGUGUAUGUGGCCCAAGAAAAUUCCUGUUCACUCAGUGCAGUCCACGUAAGCCAAGAGGUUGGACACCCACAGGUGACAGCAUUAUUGCAUGUUAUCCUUAGUUUUCCCUUCCAUAUUUGCUCACAGCCAAGGUAAAUUGUUGUAGGAGCUCUCUG